GGCGGCGUGGAUAAGACAUGCAAGUCGAACGGGAAUUUUUUUGGUAGCAAUACCGAAAAAAUUUCAGUGGCGAACGGGUGCGUAACACGUGGGCAAUCUGCCGAGAAGUGGGGGAUAGCUCGCCGAAAGGCGAAUUAAUACCGCAUGUGAUCAGAGGCGACAUCGCUUCGAAAUCAAAGGUGGCGCAAGCUACCGCUUUUUGAGGAGCCCGCGGCCUAUCAGCUUGUUGGUGAGGUAACGGCUCACCAAGGCGUUGACGGGUAGCUGGUCUGAGAGGACGACCAGUCACACUGGGACUGAGACACGGCCCAGACACCUACGGGUGGCAGCAGUCGAGAAUUUUUCUCAAUGGGGGAAACCCUGAAGGAGCGACGCCGCGUGGAGGAUGAAGGUCUUCGGGUUGUAAACUCCUGUCAUUUGGGAACAAGGCGCAGGUAUUAACUGUACCUGCGUUGAUAGUACCAGAA
rnacentral:rRNA from 1 species